rnacentral:rRNA from 1 species
CGGCCUUGACAUACUAAGAACUUUCCAGAGAUGGAUUGGUGCCUUCGGGAACUUAGAUACAGGUGCUGCAUGGCUGUCGUCAGCUCGUGUCGUGAGAUGUUGGGUUAAGUCCCGNAACGAGCGCAACCCUUUUCCUUAUUUGCCAGCGGGUCAUGCCGGGAACUUUAAGGAUACUGCCAGUGACAAACUGGAGGAAGGCGGGGACGACGUCAAGUCAUCAUGGCCCUUACGGCCAGGGCUACACACGUGCUACAAUGGUCGGUACAAAGGGUUGCUACCUCGCGAGAGGAUGCUAAUCUCAAAAAGCCGAUCGUAGUCCGGAUCGCAGUCUGCAACUCGACUGCGUGAAGUCGGAAUCGCUAGUAAUCGCGGAUCAGAAUGCCGCGGUGAAUACGUUCCCGGGCCUUGUACACACCGCCCGUCACACCAUGGGAGUUUGUUGCACCAGAAGUAGGUAGUCUAACCGCAAGGAGGACGCUUACCACGGUGUGGCCGAUGACUGGGGUGAAGUCGUAACAAGGUAAGCGUAGAUGA